GCCAGGCGUGGUGGUGCACGCCUGUAGUCCCAGCUACUCGGGAGGCUGAGGCAGGAGAAUCGCUGGAACCCGGGAGGUGGAGGUUGUAGUGAGCAGAGAUCAUGCCACUGCACUCCACCCUGGGUGACAGAGCGAGACUUUGUCUCAA
rfam:Homo sapiens chromosome 6, GRCh38 reference primary assembly.